GCACGUCUAAGUACUCGCCUUGUCUAUUAAAGUGAAACCGCGAAUGGCUCAUUAAAUCAGUUAUGGUUCACUAGAUCGUACCUCAUCCUACUCGGAUAACUGUGGUAAUUCUAGAGCUAAUACAUGCAACUAGGCCCUGCCCGGCCGCCUUCACGGGUGGUCGGAAAGGGCGCCAUUAUCAGCCCAAAACCGACCGGGUUGCCCCUUGGGGCUCCCGUCCUUAUACCCUUUGACGACUCUGGAUAACCUUCUAGCGGAUCGCCGGUAAACUAGGUCGGCCGGGCGGUGACGUCCGCGUCCGACCUACGGCGACUAGUCUUUCGAAUGUCUGCCUUAUCAACUGUCGACGGUAGGUUAGACGCCUACCGUGGUCGUAACGGGUGACGGGGAAUCAGGGUUCGAUUCCGGAGAGGGAGCCUGAGAAACGGCUACCACAUCCAAGGAAGGCAGCAGGCACGCAAAUUACCCAAUCCCUGCACGGGGAGGUAGUGACGAAAAAUAACGAUACGGGACUCUUAACGAGGCCUCGUAAUCGGAAUGAGUCCGCUCUAAAUCCUUUAACGAGGAUCUAUCGGAGGGCAAGUCUGGUGCCAGCAGCCGCGGUAAUUCCAGCUCCGAUAGCGUAUAUUAAAGUUGCUGCGGUUAAAAAGCUCGUAGUUGGAUUUGGGUUUUCGGGCCGGCGGGCCGCCGCCUUCGAGCGGCGCGUUUCCCGCCGCGCCCCCGGAACCGCACGGUCGCAGAGGCCCCCGCGGUGCUCUUGAGUGAGUGUCCGCGGUCUCGGGUCGCCGAACGUUUACUUUGAAAAAAUUAGAGUGCUCCACGCAGGCCGGUAAAGCGUUUUUAAACCCGCGCCUGAAUAGUCACGCAUGGAAUAAUGAAAGAGGAC
rnacentral:rRNA from 1 species